rnacentral:rRNA from 1 species
UACGGGGGGAGCAAGCGUUGUUCGGAUUUACUGGGCGUAAAGGGCGCGUAGGCGGCGUGACAAGUCACUUGUGAAAUCUCCGGCUUAACUCGGAACGGUCAAGUGAUACUGUCGUGCUAGAGUACAGAAGGGGCAACUGGAAUUCUCGGUGUAGCGGUAGAAUGCGUAGAUAUCGAGAGGAACACCUGCGGCGAAGGCGGGUUGCUGGCUGAUACUGACGCUGAGGCGCGAAGCCAGGGAGCGAACGG